rnacentral:misc_RNA from 1 species
GAGUGGGUUGUACCAGAAGUAGAUAGCUUAACCUUNNGGNGGGCGUUUACCACGGUAUGAUUCAUGACUGGGGUGAAGUCGUAACAAGGUAACCGUAGGGGAACCUGCGGUUGGAUCACCUCCUUACCGAACAGGUGUCAGGUUAUAGGAUAUAGGUAACAGGGUUAUCACCUAGACUUGCACUGAAAAUAAAGCGACAGCAAGUGUNCACACAG